rnacentral:rRNA from 1 species
UGGGGAAUAUUGCACAAUGGGGGAAACCUUGAUGCAGCGACGCCGCGUGAACGAAGAAGGUAUUCGUAUCGUAAAGUUCUGUCCUAUGGGAAGAUAAUGACAGUACCAUAGAAGAAAGCUCCGGCUAAAUACGUGCCAGCAGCCGCGGUAAUACGUAUGGAGCGAGCGUUGUCCGGAAUUAUUGGGCGUAAAGGGUACGCAGGCGGUUUAAUAAGUCGAAUGUUAAAGAUCGGGGCUCAACCCCGCAAAGCAUUGGAAACUGAUAAACUUGAGUAGUGGAGAGGAAAGUGGAAUUCCUAGUGUAGUGGUGAAAUACGUAGAUAUUAGGAGGAAUACCAGUAGCGAAGGCGACUUUCUGGACACAAACUGACGCUGAGGUACGAAAGCGUGGGGAGCAAACAGG